GCUCAGUUGGUAAAGAAUCUGCCUGCAAUGCAGGAGAGCCAGGUUCGAUUCCUGG
rnacentral:tRNA from 1 species